AGGACGAACGCUGGCGGCGUGCUUAACACAUGCAAGUCGAACGAGGCGCUUGCGCCUAGUGGCGAACGGGUGAGUAACACGUGAGCAACCUGCCCUUGGCUCUGGGAUAGCCUCCGGAAACGGGGAUUAAUACCGGACAUGACCUGUGAUUGCAUGAUCACGGGUGGAAAGUUUUUCGGCCAGGGAUGGGCUCGCGGCCUAUCAGCUUGUUGGGGGGGUAACGGCCCACCAAGGCGACGACGGGUA
rnacentral:rRNA from 1 species